rnacentral:lncRNA from 1 species
UUGUAUUCGGUAUUACGAGAUUGUAAAAAAAUCAAAAAAAAUUCGAAAAAAAAUUCAAAAAAAAAGUUUGUAUUCAAUUUAAUUUUUUCUUUGUGUAUUCAGUAUUGAAAAAAAAAUUCAGAAUUAAAAAAAAAAGUAAUUGAAAUUCAUUUUGAGCUUGUAAAAGCAUUGCUUGCUGCCCGAAGGACCACAUCUAUACAGCCACACUAAUUUCCUUCUAUUUUCUUUGUUUGUUAGCCUACCCGAUCCUAAAAUA